UGGAGCUGAAAUCAGUCGAAGAUACCAGCUGGCUGCAACUGUUUAUUAAAAACACAGCACUGUGCAAACACGAAAGUGGACGUAUACGGUGUGACGCCUGCCCGGUGCCGGAAGGUUAAUUGAUGGGGUUAUCCGUAAGGAGAAGCUCUUGAUCGAAGCCCCGGUAAACGGCGGCCGUAACUAUAACGGUCCUAAGGUAGCGAAAUUCCUUGUCGGGUAAGUUCCGACCUGCACGAAUGGCGUAAUGAUGGCCAGGCUGUCUCCACCCGAGACUCAGUGAAAUUGAACUCGCUGUGAAGAUGCAGUGUACCCGCGGCAAGACGGAAAGACCCCGUGAACCUUUACUAUAGCUUGACACUGAACACUGGUCCUUGAUGUGUAGGAUAGGUGGGAGGCUUUGAAGUGUGGACGCCAGUCUGCAUGGAGCCAUCCUUGAAAUACCACCCUUUAAUGGCUGGUGUUCUAACGUGGGCCCCUAAUCGGGGUUGCGGACAGUGUCUGGUGGGUAGUUUGACUGGGGCGGUCUCCUCCUAAAGAGUAACGGAGGAGCACGAAGGUCAGCUAAUCCUGGUCGGACAUCAGGAGGUUAGUGCAAUGGCAUAAGCUGGCUUGACUGCGAGCGUGACGGCGCGAGCAGGUGCGAAAGCAGGUCAUAGUGAUCCGGUGGUUCUGAAUGGAAGGGCCAUCGCUCAACGGAUAAAAGGUACUCCGGGGAUAACAGGCUGAUACCGCCCAAGAGUUCAUAUCGACGGCGGUGUUUGGCACCUCGAUGUCGGCUCAUCACAUCCUGGGGCUGAAGUAGGUCCCAAGGGUAUGGCUGUUCGCCAUUUAAAGUGGUACGCGAGCUGGGUUUAGAACGUCGUGAGACAGUUCGGUCCCUAUCUGCCGUGGGCGCUGGAGAAUUGAGGGGGGCUGCUCCUAGUACGAGAGGACCGGAGUGGACGCAUCACUGGUGUUCGGGUUGUCAUGCCAAUGGCAUUGCCCGGUAGCUAAAUGCGGAAGAGAUAAGUGCUGAAAGCAUCUAAGCACGAAACUUGCCCCGAGAUGAGUUCUCCCUGACCCUUUAAGGGUCCUGAAGGAACGUUGAAGACGACGACGUUGAUAGGCCGGGUGUGUAAGCGCAGCGAUGCGUUGAGCUAACCGGUACUAAUGAACCGUGAGGCUUAACCUU
rnacentral:rRNA from 1 species